CCAAUCAGAACCACUGAUACAAACUAAUUGCAUUAGAAUUACAAAUGGCUGGCGUAGAUUUAGCAAAACCCAAAGGAAGAAAAAGACAAAUCGAGCCAAGAGAAGAUUUCCGUGACGAACUUAAUGACAGAAAAAGGUCGAAAUGUGAUUGCUAUGAAAGAUGUUUUAAUAUCAAAUCUGUCAAAGCUUGGGCCAAUUUGAUACUGGAAUGUGAAUGUUCAUGCAACAUUGAAUGCAUGUCGAAAUGCAGCAAGGAAUGUAUGUUGAAAUGCAACGAGGAAUGCAAGGGGAACAAGCAAUGGAUAGGAGGUCAAAAUAAAAUAGUACUUACACACAAUAAUCAUAUUGUCGGAAACAGGGAUAUAACAAUGAUGGAGCAGUCUGAACAUAAGAAUUCCAUCAUGCUGAGAAAUCUUACAGAAGCUGAUUGGAACUCAACUUUUACCUGCAGUUUUGGUACACUUUUUAAGUCAAUCAGCUUAGAUGGAUAUAAUGAGCAGUCUGCUCAAGCUUCACAUACAAUCAAUACUGCUACCGAAUCAGGUGCACCAAAUGACACUACUUUUACCGCAUCAGAUGCACCAAAUGUCACUACUGCCAUCCCAUUUGGUCCAGAUAUAGCUGUGCCGAUUGCUGGAUGUGUUAUAGGAAUUGCACUAGUUACAUAUGCAGGAUAUAAUGUCCUAAAAUGGAUACUCAAAAGGAGAAGGCAACAAAGGGAGUAGAAGACAGAAGAAGAAAAAGACGAUUUGCUAUAGUGUGAUAAUUGGUCUUCAGUUCAGAUAAAGAUCAAUAUAAUUGAUGCUGACAAAUUGAUUUUGGUCAUGGAUGAACAGAAAUCACAUACGCAUCAACAUUUUUUAUAGAGUUCUUGUUUGUUUUUUCAAUUUAUAGUUUGAAAUAUUUAAAUAUAUUAUGUUGUUCUUUAUUUUUGAUUAUAUAUAUAUAAUAAGUUUUGUAAAGGAAGUUUUUUAUAAUAAUAAUGUAACUUUAACGAAAGCAUUUUGCUGAGAUAAUUGACCAUAUUUUAACCCUAACCCUUAAACAAUGAGGAAAAUGCCUUUUACCUGUAUAUUUAAAAGAUGCUUUAUUAUGUGUUGAUAAUAGCAAGGUUUUUGCAAAGUUCCAAGAUAUUCCAGUUCCAGUUCCAUUCCAGUUUGAUCAAUGAUAAAGUAUGAUGCUUACCGUUUGUCUUUUAUUUAGGAAUGAAAUUGAACUAUUUUAAUCAUUAAAGGAGGAAAUAUGAUAAGAGCCAUUAUUGGAUCCCUGAAAUGGCGAAUUACGUAUGCAAAUCCUUUAAAAUCAUGUUAAUUUAUUGGUUAUUUUAGUGCAGAAAGGUCACUGAUGUCAUAAACAUAAAUUGAAAUGCGCAUGAAAUGUCAUUUUAUGCAUAGUUUUUAGACAAAACUUCAAGGCCAUACAUAAAAAGACAGUUUACAGACAUAACAUUUUUAUACGACCGCAAAAAUUGAAAAUUUUUUGGUCGUAUAUUGGUAUGACGUUGGCGUCGUCGUCGUCGUCGUCGUCGUCGUUGUCGUCGUCGUCGUCGUCGUCGUCCGGCGUCGUCUGGCGUCGUCCGAAGACACGUUGGUUUUCGCACUCUAACUUUAGUUUAAGUGAAUGGAUCUCCAUGAAAUUUUACCAUAAGGUUCAAUACCAUGAAAGGAAGGUUGGGAUUGAUUUUGGGGGUUAUGGUACCUACAGUUAAGGAAUUAGGGGCCAAAAAGGGGCCAACAAUAAGCAUUUUUGUAACUUCCAGACAAUAACUUGUGUGUAAGUGUAUGGAUCUCUCUGACAUUGUACCACAAGGUUCCAUAUCACAAAGGGAAGGCUGUAAUUGAUUUUGGGGGUAAUUGCCUCAAAAUGUUAGGAAUUAGGGGCCAAAAAAGGGGCAAAAAACAAGCAUUUUUCUAGUUUCAUGACAAUAACUUGUGUGUAAGUGUUUGGAUAUUUCUGAAAUUGUACUACAAGGUUCCAUAUCACAAAGGGAAAGCUGGAAUUGAGUUUGGGGGUAAUUGCCCGAAACGUUUAGGAAUUGGGGGCCAAAAAGGGGCCAAAAAUAAGCAUUUUUCUAGUUUCCAGACAAUAACUUGUGUUCAAGUGUAUGGAUCUCUCUGAAAUUGUACUGCAAGGUACCAUACCACAAAGGGAAGGCUGAGAUUGAGUUUGGGGUGAUGAAUCAUAAGGGGGUUCAAAAAAUUUUGGGGGGGGAUUUUUUUUUUCUUUUUUUUUUCUUUUUUUCCUUUUUUUUUUCUUUUAAAAUUUUCCAUUUUAAGUUGGUUAUUUCUGAUUUAUAUUUAAAAGCAAAUAAUAAUGAUAUGGUAGGAGAUACACACCAAACAGGAUGUGUAAAUUAUUAUAUAAUAAGUAUUGUGCAAUAGCAAGAAAUUUUCAAUUGCACAGUAUUGCACAAUAGCAAGAAAUCUUCAAUUGCACAGUAUUGCGCAAUAGCAAGAAAUCUUCAAUUGCACAGUAUUGCGCAAUAGCAAGAAAUAUCCAAUAGCACAAUAUUGCGCAAUAGCAAGAAAUUGUCAAUUGUACAGUAUUGCGCAAUAGCAAGAAAUAAUCAAUUGCACAGUAUUGUGCAAAAGAAGAUACUUCGUAUAAAUUGCUUAUUUCUUGAUCAAUUUCAAUGGGGUUUUAUUCUUGAAUUCUUGGGGUUCUUUAAUAUGCUGAAUCUAACCGUGUAUUAAGUUUUUGGAUUUUGGGCCCCGUUUUUAAAUUGGUCCACAUUGAGGUCCAAAGGGUCCAACAUUUUACUUUGUUUGAUUUCAUCAAAAAUUGAAUUAUUGGGGUUCUUUGAUAUGCCGAAUCUAACCGUGUAUUUAGAUUCUUAAUUUUUGGUUCUGUUUUCAAAUUGGUCUACAUAAAGGUCCAAAGGGUCCAAAAUUAAACUUUGUUUGAUUUCAACAAAAAUUGAAUAUAUGGGGUUCUUUGAUAUGCUGAAUCUAACCAUGUAUUUAGAUUUUUGAUUAUGGGCCCAGUUUUCGAGUUGGUCCAAAUCGGGGUCCAAAAUUAAACUUUGUUUGAUUUCAACAAAAAUUGAAUAUAUGGGGUUCUUUGAUAUGCUGAAUCUAACCAUGUAUUUAGAUUUUUGAUUAUGGGCCCAGUUUUUAAGUUGGUCCAAAUCGGGGUCCAAAAUUAAACUUUGUUUGAUUUCAACAAAAAUUGAAUAUAUGGGGUUCUUUGAUAAGCUGAAUCUAACCAUGUAUUUAGAUUUUUGAUUGUUGGGCCCCGUUAUCAACUUUGUCCACAUUGAGAUCAAAAGGGUCCAAAAUUAAACUUUGUUUGAUUUCAUCAAAAAUUGAAUAUAUGGGGUUCUUUGAUAUGCUGAAUCUAACCAUGUAUUCAGAUUUUUGAUUAUGGGCCCAGUUUUCAAGUUGGUCCAAAUCGGGGUCCAAAAUUAAACUUUGUUUGAUUUCAACAAAAAUUGAAUAUAUGGGGUUCUUUGAUAAGCUGAAUCUAACCAUGUAUUUAGAUUUUUGAUUAUGGGCCCAGUUUUCAAGUUGUUCCAAAUCGGGGUCCAAAAUUAAACUUUGUUUGAUUUCAACAAAAAUUUAAUAUAUGGGGUUCUGUAAUAUGCUGAAUCUAACCGUGUAUUAAGUUUUUGGAUUUUGGGCCCCGUUUUUAAAUUGGUCCACAUUGAAGUCCAAAGGGUCCAAAAUUUAACUUUGUUUGAUUUUCAUCAAAAAUUGAAUUAUUGGGGUUCUUUGAUAUGCCGAAUCUAACCGUGUAUUUAGAUUCUUAAUUUUUGGUUCCGUUUUCAAAUUGGUCUACAUAAAGGUCCAAAGGGUCCAAAAUUAAACUUAGUUUGAUUUUAACAAAAAUUGAAUUUUUAGGGUUCUUUGAUAUGCUGAAUCUAAACAUGUAUUUAGAUUUUUGAUUUUUGGGCCCUGUUAUCAUUUUUGUCCACAUUGAGAUCAAAAGGGUCCAAAAUUAAACUUUGUUUGAUUUCAUCAAAAAUUGAAUUCUUGGGGUUCUUUGAUAUGCUGAAUCUAACCAUGUAUUUAGAUUUUGGAUAUUGGACCAUAAUAGGUGAAUGUCCAAUUUAAAAUUUUUAAGUUCUUAGACCACAUUCAUUCUGUGUCAGAAACCUAUGCUGUGUCAAAUAUUUAAUCACAAUCCAAAUUCAGAGCUGUAUCAAGCUUGAAUGUUGUGUCCAUACUUGCCCCAACUGUUCAGGGUUCGACCUCUGCGGUCGUAUCAAGCUGCGCCCUGCGGAGCAUUUUAUUGUAAAAUACAUCUCAUAAAAAUAUCUUUAUGGGGAAACUAAUAACAUCUCAAAAUGCGGCUGCAUUGGCAAUUUUCCCUCACUUUUGAAGCUUUUGUAGAAAUUUUAUUGGUAAGACAAAAUUCAAAACUUCACAAACUAACACAAAGAGGUUAUUGUCUUUAUAUUAUGAAGGAUAUUUUCAGAAUUCAAGGGACCAAAAAGGAGGCUUAAUCAGUCAUUCUCCUUUAUGAAAUUUUAGCUUUGUCUGGUGGUAUAAGUGAUGAUAUAUUUUUGACCUUAUUAAAGAUGUGCUUGUAAAUAAUUUAUAAAUUAUAUAUUUUUAAUGUGUUUAGUUGUAUAUUUAGUGUUUAUAUGCUGGGUAAUGAUUUUUUUUUUAACAGGGUUUUUACGUAUUGAUCUUGUAUCUUUGCUUGUAAGAUUAAUAAUUGACACUAUUAUUAAAUAAUCCUUAUCUUAUCUUAUCUUCAAAUAAUAUCAGUCAAAAUUGUCUUUUAGGGGAAGGAAAAAGUAAUCAAAACAAGAACUUUUACCCCUACCCAAUAUUUUGGAAAGUUUGAAGCAGCAACUUUAUUUUUUGUUUGCAUUUCGGCUUUACUGCAUGUAAUACUGCACUUAUUUAAUGUAAUUAAAAUGACUUUCCAUCUUAAGUAUCUAAAAUUAAGAAUGCUUUUUGUUUUGACUGUAAUGGCUAUGAAAUUGUUAUAUUAAACGUUUUUAACUCAAUGUUGAAAAGAAAUAACUCAGAAAUGUUUAAUAUUUUUUUGUCAUGAAACAGCUUUGCUUCAAAUCAUUUCUAUUAUGUAAAUAACAUUUUCUUGUUUAGUUACAAUAAUUUGAAGAGUCAAAUUUAUCUUUUGAAUAGUAAGGCUUCAUAAAAAUGAGACGAGAAAUGCGGAAUGUGUCAAAGAGACAACAACCCGACCAAAGAGCAAAAAAACAACUGAAGGCCACCCGGAGGCGUGUUUUCAGAUGGCCCCUAAACAAAAAUAUGUAUUAGUCUAGUGAUAAUGUGCUAAAUUCCAAAACAUAUAAAUGUACUAAAAUUAAAAAUCAUUAAAGACUAACAAAGGCCAGAGGCUCCUGACUUGGACCAGGCGCAAAAAUGCAGCGGGGUUAAACAUGUUUUGUGAGAUCUCAACCUCCCCCUGUACCUCAAGCCAAUGUAGAAAAAACAAACACACACAUUCAUGUUUGAUUGACAUAUCAGUGUAUGGUCUAAAUAUCGUCAGAUAGUAGCAAAUUGUAGUCCAAAGUUGUUAUAGAUCUCUUUCAAUGAAAUACUGAGAUUAUUAUCAAAAGCUAAAUAAUUUUCAAUAUUUUAUAGGUAUAUUAUGAAGCAUGAUUUUUAUACGGGACGUAUUAUGGUAUACCGUUGUCCGUCUGUCUGUCCGUCGUCAACAUGUCGGACAUUAACUCAAAAACGCUUUAACCAAUUUGCAUAAAACUUUGGUGAAUUGUUUAAAUUUAUUGACGUGAGCUCCCUUUCAUUUUUUAUAAAUUUUAGAUUUUACGUUUCCGAGUUAUGGGGUUUUAUUCAUUUAAAAAAAGGGGGAUUUUCCAAUUUUCGGACAAUAACUCAAGAAUGCUUUCACCAACUUGCAAGAAAUUGUGGUGAAUUGUUUAUAUCUAUUGACAUGAGCUCCCUUUCGAUUUUUAUAAAUUUUAGAUUUUACGUUUCCGAGUUACAGGGUUUUAUUAAAAAAUAAAGGGGGAUUUUCCAGUUUUCAGACAAAAACUCAAAAAUGCUUUCAGCAGUUCUUAUGAAACUUUGGUGAAUUGUUUAUAUCUAUUGAUAUGAGCUCCCUUUAGAAUUUUAUAAAUUUUCCAUUUUACAUUUCUGAGUUAUGGGGUUUUAUUCAUUAAAAAGGGGGGGAUUUUCCAGUUUUCGAACAAUAACUCAAAAAUGCUGUCAGCAAUUCUCAUGAAACUUUGGUGAAUUGUUUAUAUCUAUUGAUGUAAGCUCCCUUUUGACUUUGAUAAAUUUCUAAUAUGACAUUGAGAAUUAAUUGAACUUUAUUUGUUUAUAGUCUGACAACAGAUUUACUAAGUAUUGCACAACAGCACAGUGUAUUGCACAAUAGCAAGAAAUCUUCAAUUGAAUAUAAAUUCAAUUCAUAUAACCAAUUUCAACUUCUUUGACUACAUUUAUUCAGAAACCUGUAAUAUGUCAAAUAUUUAAUUACAAUCCAAAUUCAGACCUGUAUCAAUCUUGAAUAUUGUGUCCAUUUUUGCCCCAACUGUUCAGGGUUGGACCUCUGCAGGCGUAUCCAACUGCGCUCAGCGAAGCAGUUUAUUAUUCUUUUGUCCCUUGAAUUUAUAUGACAGUGAUGUCUGUAAUGUUGUCAUGCAAAUCAAGAAUAUUCCAUUUAAACGUGUUAUGGAUGCAUUUUCAAAUUUGUUAUUGUCAAGGGUCAAAGCAAAUUGAGAUUAAUGAUGAAGAAGUGUUAUGAAAUAAAGGAUCACAAAUGUAAAACAAAUCUGGUGUUAUUUAUGGUUAGAUUUGUUAUUUUCUAGCCAAAAAUGUAAUAUCAAUAAGAUAAUAUGUAAAGCUACUAGUACCUGGUUUCUCAUUUUAAGAUUAUAUCGACAUGUUCAAAUGAAUUGUGUUGAUUCUCAUGUAAGCAGAAGACAUUCCGCUGAAUCUCUGAAAAUAAUGGUUGUUUCUUUUAUUUAAUAAAAAAUGUUAUGUCUUGA